rnacentral:lncRNA from 1 species
UAGGUGUCACUGGUGGAUUGUGAGACUCAAAGACAUUCACUUGGUGAUCAGUGAACCCGAAUGAGAAGAGUUGGAAUUGUUCCAACCCAUUGAAAGGAGUUUUCAAUGAUAUUAUGAUAGAGAUCGCAAUAUAUCUCACUACCAGACAGAAUAGAACCUAUGGGGUCACACACAUUAGAGGUAUUGACUGAUCCGAUGGUUGAAUUGUGAUUAGGAAUCACAAAUAAUUUAUAAUUAUCAAUUUGAUUGAUAACUAGCAAGUUGAAGAAGG